UUUUUUUUAACCAUUCUUAUUAAUUACCUAGCUAGAGUGUGUUGCCCGUCAACCAGUCAUAACAACAAAGAGGAAAAUAUUUUACAAUCAUGACAACAAGAAGGAAAUUAUUUCGCCGGUAUAUCAAAUUAUAUAUAUAGAAUUCAUGUUUAGUAAAAUAGAAAAACUAGCAAUAAGGAUCACAACAACUGAAAAAGAACAUUUACCGCAUGUCCUAUAUAAGGAUCAGAUAAAUCCUUUAUUUUUUACUUUGUGUCUUAUUCAGGGAUGUCUCACUAUGACGAUAACUUGCAUGAAGCGAGAGAUAGAAUAUUAACAUCAGAUGAGAAACAUUAAAUGCACAAAACAAAAAUUAGAUGCCGCCUUUCAUAUAACUGCACAAAAG
rnacentral:lncRNA from 1 species